rnacentral:rRNA from 1 species
AGGAUCAUUAUUGAAUAUACUUGAUGGGUUGUAGCUGGCUCCUAGGAGCAAUGUGCACGCCUGUCUUGCAUUUUAUUCAUCCACCUGUGCACCUUUUGUAGUCUUCUGGGGAUUGAGAGUGGCCGACUAUCGAGUUCUUCUCGGAUGUGAGGGAUGCUUGCAGCUCCCCUCAAAUGGUCGCGACCUUCCCUGGAGUCUAUGUUUUUAUAUUCAUAUACCACAUAGUAUGUUGCAGAAUGAAUUCAGUGGGCCUUUGUGCCUAUAAAUGAUCUAUACAACUUUCAGCAACGGAUCUCUUGGCUCUCGCAUCGAUGAAGAACGCAGCGAAAUGCGAUAAGUAAUGUGAAUUGCAGAAUUCAGUGAAUCAUCGAAUCUUUGAACGCACCUUGCGCUCCUUGGUAUUCCGAGGAGCAUGCCUGUUUGAGUGUCAUUAAAUUCUCAACCCCUCUAACUUUUGUUGGAAGGGGCUUGGAUAUGGAGGCUUGCUGGCCAUUUGUUAAAGAAGGUCAGCUCCUCUGAAAUGCAUUAGCGGAACCGUUUGCGAUCCGUCACAGGUGUGAUAAUUAUCUACGCCGUGUAUAGUCGCUCUCUGUCUGUUCAGCUUCCAAUCGUCUUCACGGACAAUUCUAUUGAAUAUUUGACCUCAAAUCAGGUAGGACUACCCG